rnacentral:rRNA from 1 species
UGAGGAAUUUUGCGCAAUGGGGGAAACCCUGACGCAGCAACGCCGCGUGAGUGAUGAAGGCUUUCGGGUCGUAAAGCUCUGUCAAGUGGGAAGAACCCACAUGACGUUAAUAUGGUCAUGUGCUGACGGUACCACUGAAGGAAGCACCGGCUAACUCCGUGCCAGCAGCCGCGGUAAUACGGGGGGUGCAAGCGUUACUCGGAAUCACUGGGCGUAAAGGGCGCGCAGGCGGUUUGGCAAGUCGGAUGUGAAAGCCCGGGGCUUAACCCCGGAAGUGCAUCCGAUACUGCUUAACUUGAGUAUGGGAGAGGGAAGCGGAAUUCCUGGUGUAGCGGUGAAAUGCGUAGAUAUCAGGAGGAACACCGGUGGCGAAGGCGGCUUCCUGGACCAAUACUGACGCUGAGGCGCGAAGGCGUGGGGAGCAAACA